AACAGUCACAUCAGGUAACACAAAACACGAAUGAAUGAAUCGUGCACCCUUCAGAAACAGUUUCACCCAUCCACCAAUAACACAGUGAAAUCGUUAUUUUCCGAACCGCGAGACAUUUAAAAAUAUACAAUUGUUAAGGAGGAGUAAAAAUUAUUUCGUUUUAGAUAUAAAACAAUAAAUUAAUCUCAAAGAAAAACCGUUUGAGAAAUUAUUUUCCAGUUAGCAAGUCUGUUGUAUUGUAAAAUGAUAGAUUGCGCGUGCGGAAUUAGUAUGAGCAAAAUGGUUGAGAACCCUAUUUUGGGUGAACCACCUGAAUGAAUGUUUAGGUAAUUCAGUCAGAUGAACGAUCCGACAGUCGAUUGUGAUUUCGGCUGAGUUUCAUCUAGGCUCUGGUCCGGUGCGGAUCGCGCGUGUUAGAGCUCUAGAGGUUCCUUUUAGUUUCGUCGCGGUACAGUUCCGUAAAAAGAAUGUGAUCGAAGAUUUUCGGGUUUUUUUAGUGUCGUCGCGUUUCGCGUAAAUCAUAACUUUUCCCAAUCAUAGUUGGGGUUCAAAUAGUUCAGUUCCGUCGCGUUUAGAACCAGAAGAUUUUUCCGACAAGUAGGAAGUGAGUAGAGUUGGCUAAGUGAGAAAAAGAAAACAAUUUUCAACCGCAGUUGUUGAAGUACAAUUAGUUCGUUCGUUAAUCGUUAAAUGAAGAGAAAAAAAUAACCGAUAAUUUACCAGUAAAUUCUGGAGUCCAUAUUUAGUGUAAAUAAAGAAAAGAAAAUUUUGAGAAGAAAAUUAGUGUAAGAGAAAAUUAUUUUUGAUCCGCCAUAUUGCCGUAAAAAAAAACAAGAUUCAGUAGUGUCGAAGCAUCAAAAAGCAUCGAAAGAGUAGUAGUGAUUUGUAGCUGUAAGGUGUCGUACAUAAGCGAAACAAAAGAAUCGUCGACUGUUGCAUCGGAAGGUGAGUCAGAUUGAAUGCCGCCUGCAAAUGUAGUAGUGAAAUUGGUAAAAAUGAUAUGAAUUAAUUUGUCGUAGAGAAUGAACUAGUGAAAAAUAUUCAGUAUUACUUUAAAUUCCUAAGGAAUCUCUAUGAGUUUCCCAUAAUUCCCUUAAAAUCCUAUCCGAAAAUUUUAAUUAAAUUUAUUUGCUCAAUAAAUUUAAUUAAAAUUUUCUUUCCCGUAACAGAGGGGUAAUGUAACAAUAAAUGAUCGCGCUACAAAAAGAAGCCAACUGAUUUUGUCGCGCGACAUCAGACGUUGCGUUCCGUCGUGUCGCGCCAAGUGCAUUAUCGCGCAACGAAUACCCGAUGAAAUGAGGGUGCAAAUAUAUCCAUCUCACUUAUCACAAGUUUGGCAAACAAUAUUGAAUUGGACCUUUAGAAUUCGGUCCGCAAAAGGAGGUUUUGUAAUACUCCGAUCUUUGAACCUUAGUUCUUUCCAAAUUGGCUUUCGAGCAGAGUAGUUCAGUAGAAGAAAAAGUUGUGUAAAAGGCUGUUGUAAAGGGUUCUGUGAACCCAGACAAGGGAGAAGAAGAAUACCAACUUGCAAAAACUGCUCCAAAUAAGCAAUCAUAGCCAAGUUUGGCAAAGUAAAGUGUGAGGAGAUACAAGUGUUGAGAACAGGUCAAACCUUCGAACGAAGGUUUUUUUUGUGUAGUUCCAGAUUUUGGGCGUUUAAGGAGUUGGAAGUAUCCGAGGUGGGUUUAGAGCGCCUGUCGCGCCUCGCGCCGCGUGGUUCUAACCCGCGCUGCCCAACCUCGUCAGUGUCCGUAGGAGGUAAGCGUCACCAUCUCCGAGCUAUUGGACCCAAUCAAGUGUCAGACGAAGACGGCAGCCAUCGCGCUGCUGUGCCGGUCGUGCUCACCGACCACGUUCGCCGUAAGGAUCCCGAGUCACGAUCCUGAGUUAGUGGCAUCCGUCUACACUAAGAUUGUCUGUGCAUGUUCAUCAGUCCGUAGGGGCACCACGCUAACUGCCCUGAGUAAGUGGACGCAACCGUUCGCAUCGACCAAGCAUCUUUCGUCGUUGACCGAGCUCACCGGUCGGCGGUGGUCCGUAGGGGUGCAUAGUACCGCGCUCUGAGCUAGUGGACCAGCCCGAACGGUUGUCAUCGUUCAGCUCGACUUGGAGUCGAGCAUCCUCGCUGAACCAACUCGCUUCCAUCUGUCAAGCAUUCCUUCCAAGCCUGAGAUCUGCAACCAAGCCUGUAACCGCAAGCAAAGUGCAACUGGAGAAACAAUUCCCUCGGCGGUGUUGGACGAUUCCGAACUCGCAACCGCGGCACACAAGCUAAGUCUGCGUUCCGGCGCGGACACCCGCCACUGGCACGGCCACGCUGGGGGUAGUUCUUCCAACCGCCUGCCGUUCCUCUUCAUCGGAUCGCCACGCCUACCGACUGCACUCCGUGCGGCAAGGAUUGUCGCGUCGCCAGAUCAUCAUGUCGUCAGCAUAACACAGGUUAGACCUUUUUCUUGUUCUCGUACACACUCUAAAAAACAUCCAAACAAAAUCCAAAUGAUUACAUGAAUACAAACCAUUGUUAAACAUGCAUAAAUAUUAUUUUGAUUCAGUCAGUGAGCAAAUAUGACUUAAUGUGAGCGAAGCUCAAUUUGGUAAGUUCAGCUUGGGUUACGGUUUCGUAUGUUUUCGCCAUAAUUGAGGUUUGGUUGAGUUCAGCAUUGUUUAUCUACUUUGGUAUAUGAGUUUGGAUCGCGUCCGCCUUACCUGCCCUGAGACAGCUAACCGGGCAACAGAACGUGUGACUUCGUAACAGUUCCUUCAGAACUGUUGGCGCAUAAACGGAGUCAUUAUUAACAGCAGAAAGGCUGAGGAUUGUGACAGUUGGCUACUUUUAGUAGGUUGGUCAGUUUUAAGUUUCGUGGUCCACUGUUACCUUCCUAGUGUACACUUCACGUUACAA